AGAGCCACAUAGUGUAUGUUAUUUAUGGUCUCAUUUAUUUUAUUUAUCGAUUAUUAUAUUGUGCAUUUAAAUUGUAGGUGGUGGGCAUUUUCAUUAGGGUUGGAUCACGUAA